GGAGCCCCGCCCCUCAGUGGCGUCACAACCCCGUGACGUCCCCCGCGUGACCUCACCGCGGUGGAGCGACGGGGUGGGCAGUGGGAAGAAGGGAAGGGACCGCCCCGUGGUUGGGGGUGACUCCUGGCCUGACCUUCUCCUCGCCCCGCCCCCACACUCAAGGGGAGGAGUUAAAGCUCGGCGUCUGGGGAGAGGCUCCGGGAACUCCGUUUACAGCAACUCCACCAUUUUGCAGUAGGAUCAAGUCUCUGGAAAGUAAAGGAGGCCUGGAUACGAACAUCAAUCCCAGAUCCAGACAGCAACACACAAAGAAAAAUAUUGCUGUGCAUUGUGAUAUACCUGCCUGGUCAAGGCCCUGUUCCAAGAUCAAAGAAUGAGAAACGCAGCAAAGAGACCAUCUUGUCUACCCCCUUGCAUUCCUAUUUGCUCAACACCGCUACAUCUAAAAGGGCAAAAGAUGAGUAAGAUAUGUCCUUCUCUCUUCAAGUAGCUCUCUGUUUUACAAGUAAGUAAAGUGAGAUCCAAAAAGCUUUGAUGUCUUGUCCAAAAAUAUAGAACAGUAAAACUUGAACCCACCUUUCAGAUCCCUAAUGGGCUUUGUUUUGCGUAACAAUUUCAACAGGAGACAGCACUAGAGUAACUGUCUGGGUUGCAAGGAGGUUUUAGAAAGAGAAAGCAUUUUGCCUCCUGUCCCAGUACCAAACAAGACUUAGUAAAAUAGAAUGGCUUUAAAAGCCUGGGUUCUGGGUCACUCACAUUUAGGAUUCAAAUUCUCAUUCUGGCCAAUUAUUGAUAAUCACAGUGCCUACCUGGAUAGGAUUGCUGUGAGAGUUAAAUGAGAUAAAAUAUGUGAGCUCAGUACAGUGCCUACUCCAUAAAAAACACUUCAAGAAAUAACUACCAUGGCCACAAACACAAGAUGACUAUGGGAUUAGACAAUGGUACUAGUAGCCCAGGCCACUUCUUCACCUGGUUCCCCUUCUUCUUCAUUUCCCUUCCUGGUCCUCUAUUAAAAUAUUAAAUAUGUACACUUUCUCUUCUCCAGUGAUUUUUUUCCCCCUCCAAUAUGAUUAUCUUAGGGGAGACAAC